rnacentral:misc_RNA from 1 species
GGAAUCAGGCCUAAAUACUCUGUCUACAACCAACAAAUUAACCAAAGAAUAGAAAGAACAAUGUAAGAGGAUGGUAUGAUGAGAAAACAUUUGGUAUCAGAUAAAGUGCUAAAAUAACUCUCUAGAAAUACAUUACUAAGAAAAACAUUAAUGAACACAUGUAAAAACAAAUACAACCAACUUCACAACAUGGCAGUGGAACAAAAUUAUCUCUCAAUGCCUAAAAGUGCAUAAAGUCAGCAUUAGUAUACCAAUAGACAAUAAAAAAAAUUAAGAAAAAACAAGCAAUAUGAUAUCCAGGUUCCCAACAACAGAAUAAUCUUUGUAUCAAAAAAUUAACUGUGGUGGCCUGGCCAC